rnacentral:rRNA from 1 species
CACUAUCGUUAACUGAAUACAUAGGUUAACGAGGCGAACCGGGGGAACUGAAACAUCUAAGUACCCCGAGGAAAAGAAAUCAACCGAGAUUCCCCCAGUAGCGGCGAGCGAACGGGGAGCAGCCCAGAGUCUGAAUCAGCUUGUGUGUUAGUGGAACGGUCUGGAAAGUCCGACGGUACAGGGUGAUAGUCCCGUACACCAAAAUGCACAGGUUGUGAACUCGAAGAGUAGGGCGGGACACGUGGUAUCCUGUCUGAAUAUGGGGGGACCAUCCUCCAAGGCUAAAUACUCCUGACUGACCGAUAGUGAACCAGUACCGUGAGGGAAAGGCGAAAAGAACCCCGGCGAGGGGAGUGAAAAAGAACCUGAAACCGUGUACGUACAAGCAGUGGGAGCACCUUCGGGUGUGACUGCGUACCUUUUGUAUAAUGGGUCAGCGACUUAUAUUCUGUAGCAAGGUUAACCGUAUAGGGGAGCCGCAGGGAAACCGAGUCUUAACUGGGCGUUAAGUUGCAGGGUAUAGACCCGAAACCCGGUGAUCUAGCCAUGGGCAGGUUGAAGGUUGGGUAACACUAACUGGAGGACCGAACCGACUAAUGUUGAAAAAUUAGCGGAUGACUUGUGGCUGGGGGUGAAAGGCCAAUCAAACCGGGAGAUAGCUGGUUCUCCCCGAAAGCUAUUUAGGUAGCGCCUCGUGAAUUCAUCUUCGGGGGUAGAGCACUGUUUCGGCUAGGGGGUCAUCCCGACUUACCAACCCGAUGCAAACUACGAAUACCGAAGAAUGUUAUCACGGGAGACACACGGCGGGUGCUAACGUCCGUCGUGAAGAGGGAAACAACCCAGACCGCCAGCUAAGGUCCCAAAGUCAUGGUUAAGUGGGAAACGAUGUGGGAAGGCACAGACAGCCAGGAUGUUGGCUUAGAAGCAGCCAUCAUUUAAAGAAAGCGUAAUAGCUCACUGGUCGAGUCGGCCUGCGCGGAAGAUGUAACGGGGCUAAACCAUGCACCGAAGCUGCGGCAGCGACACUAUGUGUUGUUGGGUAGGGGAGCGUUCUGUAAGCCUGCGAAGGUGACCUGUGAGGGUUGCUGGAGGUAUCAGAAGUGCGAAUGCUGACAUAAGUAACGAUAAAGCGGGUGAAAAGCCCGCUCGCCGGAAGACCAAGGGUUCCUGUCCAACGUUAAUCGGGGCAGGGUGAGUCGACCCCUAAGGCGAGGCCGAAAGGCGUAGUCGAUGGGAAACAGGUUAAUAUUCCUGUACUUGGUGUUACUGCGAAGGGGGGACGGAGAAGGCUAUGUUAGCCGGGCGACGGUUGUCCCGGUUUAAGCAUGUAGGCUGGUUAUCCAGGCAAAUCCGGAUAAUCAAGGCUGAGGUGUGAUGACGAGGCACUACGGUGCUGAAGUAACAAAUGCCCUGCUUCCAGGAAAAGCCUCUAAGCAUCAGGUAACAUCAAAUCGUACCCCAAACCGACACAGGUGGUCAGGUAGAGAAUACCAAGGCGCUUGAGAGAACUCGGGUGAAGGAACUAGGCAAAAUGGUGCCGUAACUUCGGGAGAAGGCACGCUGGUGUGUAGGUGAAGCCCCUGCGGGUGGAGCUGAGACCAGUCGAAGAUACCAGCUGGCUGCAACUGUUUAUUAAAAACACAGCACUGUGCAAACACGAAAGUGGACGUAUACGGUGUGACGCCUGCCCGGUGCCGGAAGGUUAAUUGAUGGGGUUAUCCGUAAGGAGAAGCUCUUGAUCGAAGCCCCGGUAAACGGCGGCCGUAACUAUAACGGUCCUAAGGUAGCGAAAUUCCUUGUCGGGUAAGUUCCGACCUGCACGAAUGGCGUAAUGAUGGCCAGGCUGUCUCCACCCGAGACUCAGUGAAAUUGAACUCGCUGUGAAGAUGCAGUGUACCCGCGGCAAGACGGAAAGACCCCGUGAACCUUUACUAUAGCUUGACACUGAACAUUGAGCCUUGAUGUGUAGGAUAGGUGGGAGGCUUUGAAGCGUGGACGCCAGUCUGCGUGGAGCCAACCUUGAAAUACCACCCUUUAAUGUUUGAUGUUCUAACGUUGGCCCCUGACCGGGGUUGCGGACAGUGUCUGGUGGGUAGUUUGACUGGGGCGGUCUCCUCCCAAAGCGUAACGGAGGAGCACGAAGGUUAGCUAAUCCUGGUCGGACAUCAGGAGGUUAGUGCAAUGGCAUAAGCUAGCUUGACUGCGAGCGUGACGGCGCGAGCAGGUGCGAAAGCAGGUCAUAGUGAUCCGGUGGUUCUGAAUGGAAGGGCCAUCGCUCAACGGAUAAAAGGUACUCCGGGGAUAACAGGCUGAUACCGCCCAAGAGUUCAUAUCGACGGCGGUGUUUGGCACCUCGAUGUCGGCUCAUCACAUCCUGGGGCUGAAGUAGGUCCCAAGGGUAUGGCUGUUCGCCAUUUAAAGUGGUACGCGAGCUGGGUUUAGAACGUCGUGAGACAGUUCGGUCCCUAUCUGCCGUGGGCGCUGGAGAAUUGAGGGGGGCUGCUCCUAGUACGAGAGGACCGGAGUGGACGCAUCACUGGUGUUCGGGUUGUCAUGCCAAUGGCACUGCCCGGUAGCUAAAUGCGGAAGAGAUAAGUGCUGAAAGCAUCUAAGCACGAAACUUGCCCCGAGAUGAGUUCUCCCUGAGACUUUAAGUCUCCUGAAGGAACGUUGAAGACGACGACGUUGAUAGGCCGGGUGUGUAAGCGCAGCGAUGCGUUGAGCUAACCGGUACUAAUGAACCGUGAGGCUUAACCUU